rnacentral:rRNA from 1 species
GAUGAACGCUGGCGGCGUGCCUAAUACAUGCAAGUCGAGCGAACAGACGCGGCGCUUGCUCCUCUGACGUUAGCCGCGCACGGGUGUGUCACACGUGUAUAACCUACCUAUCUGACUGGGAUCACUUCGGGACACCGGCUCUAAUACCGGAUAAUAUCUUGCUCCGCAUUGUUCAAUAGUGAAAGUCGGUUUUUCUGUCUCUUCUAGAUGCAUCCGCGCGGCAUUAGCUAGUUGGUAAGGUAACGGCUUUCUAAGGCAACGAUGCGUAGCCGACCGGAGAGAGGGAUCGGCCACAUGGGAAGUGGAACACGGUCCAGACGCCUAAGGGAGGGAGCAGUAGGGAAUGUGCCGCAAUGGGCGAAAGCUUGACGGAGCAAGGCCGCGUGAGUGAUGAAGGCGUUCGGAGCGUAAAACUCGGUUAUGAGGGAAGAACAAAUGUGUAAGUAACUAUGCACGUCGUGACGGUAACGAAUCAGAAAGCCACGGCUAACUACGUG